CCGGCGCACGGGUGAGUAACACGUAUCCAACCUGCCGUCUACUCUUGGACAGCCUCUGAAAGGAAGAUUAAUACAAGAUGGCAUCAUGAGUCCGCAUGUUCACAUGAUUAAAGGUAUUCCGGUAGACGAUGGGGAUGCGUUCCAUUAGAUAGUAGGCGGGGUAACGGCCCACCUAGUCUUCGAUGGAUAGGGGUUCCGAGAGGAAGGUCCCCCACAUUGGAACUGAGACACGGUCCAA
rnacentral:rRNA from 1 species